rnacentral:rRNA from 1 species
CCUACGGGGGGCAGCAGUGAGGAAUAUUGGUCAAUGGACGCAAGUCUGAACCAGCCAUGCCGCGUGAAGGAUGACGGCUCUAUGAGUUGUAAACUGCUUUUGUACGGGGGUAAACCCCGAUACGUGUAUCGGGUUGAAAGUAUCGUACGAAUAAGGAUCGGCUAACUCCGUGCCAGCAGCCGCGGUAAUACGGAGGAUCCGAGCGUUAUCCGGAUUUAUUGGGGUUAAAGGGUGCGUAGGCGGUUUGAUAAGUUAGAGGUGAAAUGUCGGGGCUCAACCCCGAAACUGCCUCUAAUACUGGUAGACUAGAGAAUAGUUGCGGUAGGCGGAAUGCAUGGUGUAGCGGUGAAAUGCUUAGAGAUCAUACAGAACACCGAUUGCGAAGGCAGCUUACCAAACUAUAUCUGACGUUGAGGCACGAAAGCGUGGGUAGCAAACAGGAUUAGAUACCCUGGUAGUC